AAAAUGUCUGGUGUCUAAACUGAUUUCUUUAUACUCUGUGAAAGACUUAUUCUAUUUUUCUGAACUAUGCUGAACUAUUGAACUAUUUUUAUUUUUAUUUUUGUAGAGUUAGCCAGAGAGAGAGGAAGUGUUAGCUGACCCAGGGAUGGAUGUACUAUGUGUGUUUUUGAUAUAUGUUGAGUGUGCCAGGGAUGGAUUCCCAUGUUUUGAGGAACUGCGUGAGGAUAUGACUGGUUUUGAUUGGACUUUUGGAAUAGGGAAAUGGUUAAAAGAUAUAGGACGCAAGGUCCUGGUUGUGCAAAAAUAUAGUUGCUAUAAGCCCAAGUUCCAUUCUGUCUUAAACAUCCAUUUUCUAUAUAUCUGUCUGCAAAAGUAUUAAGUGUUUUUUGUUUUGUUUUUUUUCUGCUGAGUUUCUGUUUCUUGUAGACCACAUGAUUGCUUGGGAAUGCCAUAAUGUGGAAAUUUCUCUGUCUUGGGAGAAUGUUAACCGAUGAUAUGAGCAAUAUAUAUUGCUCAAAGAGGGGUAACAAUUGUGAUUAUUGGGGCUCAGUUGGAUGGAACACCGGGACACAUUGGGGUUAUAAGCCACAGAAUGCAUUAGAUAAAAAGGAUACGAAUGGGAAGUCCCUCUUAACUAGAAUGACCUUAACAAAGCCAGGUACAUGUACCCCUAUAGGGCAAACUGGGCACUCCAUGAAAUUUACCUUAAAUAUUGAAAACCCCAGUCCUGGAGAUCAAGGUAUUUAUAUUCUCAGUACCUUUUUAAGAGGAGGUAUUGGAGGUGAUCGAGGAAAAAUCCAGUUAAAAGAUAUAUGGAACUCCUCAAAAUGGGAAAGCCUCACCUCUAGACAAACUCUUGUUAAUCCUCUAAAGCCCCACAUUCAAACCCUUGGUGAUAUGAUGGCCAUAGCAGAUCCCACGUUUGGAGAUACCACAGCGUUAGAAACAGGGUAUGCAGAUACAAACCUAUGGCUGGAAUGGUUGAGAUAUAAUGCCCAUUCCAGCAAUAGGUCAAACUGUUAUGUAUGUGGUAGUGCCAGACCUCAUCUAGGAACUGUACCCUUACAUGUCCCUGAUGAGUACUGGGAAUGUUUCCUAAGUUUGUUUUCAGGUAUCACUGUUAAUACUACAGAAUGUGAAGAAUGGAAAAAGGGUCACCCUAUUGGUGAACCCAAGUUUAAUUUAAAUGAUGUUGUCCCAGUAUAUCCUGGUAAUUAUACUUGUUUUCAGGGAAAUAAUAAUGGUAAGGUGGGUACACAAUUUGAUAACUUUUCUUCAGGAUUCUGCUCCGCCUACAGUAAUAUUACCUUAGUGAAUCAAACACAAUCUAUAUAAAAAUACGUUCUAGACUCCCCACCCCCUGGAGAGGAGAAUGUGCCCCAGCCAAAAUAAUCAUGCCCCUCCAUAUAUUUGGCGACUCUCUCCCUGAAAUUAAGGUUGUAACUGAUUCCACAAGAAGGAAAAGGGAAUCCCCACAAGGUAGUUUCGACCCACAUAUCUAUCUAGAUGCCAUUGGUAUUCCAAGAGGGGUUCCUAAUGAAUUUAAAGCUAGAGACGAGGUAGCAGCAGGAUUUGAAUCAAUAUUUCCCAUUAUAACAGCUAACAAGAAUGUUAACUGGAUUAAUUAUAUAUAUUAUAAUCAGCAAAGAUUUGUAAAUUAUACACGAGAUGCAUUACAAGGUCUUGCUGAACAAUUACAGGCUACCUCACAAAUGACUUUCCAGAAUAGAAUGGCCCUUGAUAUGAUUUUAGCAGAAAAGGGAGGAGUCUGUAAAUUACUUGACUCCGGUGUUUGUUGUACCUAUAUUCCAGAGAACACUGGCCCUAAUGGUAAAGUAACCCUAGCUAUAAAGAAAUUGGAAGACCUAUCCAUAGAAAUGAAGAGGAAUUCAGGUAUUGAUCACCCAUGGGCAGAUAUGUUUAAGUUUGACAGUAUCCUAGACUGGCUAAAGAAUAUUGCAAUACUUAUUGUUAUGGUUCUGAUCCUUGCUCUACUUGUUUAUGCUAUUUUCAAGAUUAUUGUAUUCUGCAUUUACAAACAUACACGCAACACUGUUCCUGUAAAAUCCCCAGCUUGAAAUGAUGAGUAUCUCCAAAUGUAUACACAUAACCGAAGCAAUGGUGAACAUACUGAUACAGAUCUAUAAGUUUGUGGUGCUGGUCAGAUGCCUAGUCCUAUGCUAUGGGAAUAGUGGCCGAAGACAUAAUGAAAGACCUGCAGGAUUGGCUAGCAAUCCUGAAUAUACCAUGGCAGAUGGCUGGUUGUCUGACCAGGACUCCUUAAAUAGGGUAUGAGCAAGAUAUUGCUCAAAGAGGGGGAAAUGAAGGAAUAUUGACCCCUUAUGGACACAUGACAUGUCAUGAUUCCCUUUUAUUCCAGAAAUCUGGUCCUUAAGGGGUUAAACAAUUAAUCUGUCAGUAUUUCAGAACUGCUUGCAAAACAUAAUUGAAAGGAAGUCACAAGCUAUGACAGUUUCUAUGUAUCAGGAAAUGCCUAACCACAAUGUAUAUGUGAUAUUUUGUAAGAUUAGAUUAUUGAAUGUAACAGCAGAAACUGCUUCCUCUUUUAUGUAUCUUGUGUAACCUUUUUGUAACCUUUUUGUAACCUUUUGUAACCAAUAUUCGUGACAAGUAUAGUAUAAAUAUAGCGAAUCUUGAAUAAACGAUCAGAAGAUUAUGGAGAGC
rnacentral:lncRNA from 1 species